GAUGAACGCUGGCGGCGUGCCUAAUACAUGCAAGUCGAGCGGAUCAAAGGGAGCUUGCUCCCUGAGAUCAGCGGCGGACGGGUGAGUAACACGUGGGCAAUCUGCCUAUGAGACUGGGAUAACUUCGGGAAACCGGAGCUAAUACCGGAUAAUAUAUAAGACCACAUGGUCUUAUAUUGAAAGAUGGCUUCGGCUAUCACUUAUAGAUGAGCCCGCGGCGCAUUAGCUAGUUGGUGAGGUAACGGCUCACCAAGGCGACGAUGCGUAGCCGACCUGAGAGGGUGAUCGGCCACACUGGGACUGAGACACGGCCCAGACUCCUACGGGAGGCAGCAGUAGGGAAUCUUCCGCAAUGGACGAAAGUCUGACGGAGCAACGCCGCGUGAGCGAUGAAGGCCUUCGGGUCGUAAAGCUCUGUUGUUAAGGAAGAACAAGUAUCGUUCGAAUAGGGCGGUACCUUGACGGUACUUAACCAGAAAGCCACGGCUAACUACGUGCCAGCAGCCGCCGUAAGAC
rnacentral:rRNA from 1 species